UACAGAGGGUGCGAGCGUUGUCCGGAAUCACUGGGCGUAAAGGGCGCGUAGGCGGCCUGGUAAGCGUGCGGUGAAAGCCCGGGGCUCAACCCCGGGUCGGCCGUGCGAACUGCGAGGCUGGAGCACUGUAGAGGCAGGUGGAAUUCCGGGUGUAGCGGUGGAAUGCGUAGAGAUCCGGAAGAACACCGGUGGCGAAGGCGGCCUGCUGGGCAGUGGCUGACGCUGAGGCGCGACAGCGUGGGUAGCAAACAGG
rnacentral:rRNA from 1 species